UCUGGUUGAUCCUGCCAGUAGUCAUACGCUUGUCUUAAAGAUUAAGGCAUGCAUGUCUAAGUGCGGUGUUUUAUACACACUAGACUGCGGACGGCUCAUUACAACAGUUAUAGUUUAUUUGAUGGAUCCUAUUACGUGGAUAACCGUGGUAAUUCUAGAGCUAAUACAUGCCAAAAUCGUUGGUCGCGGGCCGACGUGCAUUUAUUAGAUACAAAUCAAUUCGUCUCUGACGAUUUUGAGGACUCAUAAUAACUCGAGUAAGAUCGUUCGAACGAACGGCGUAUCAUUCAAGUUUCUGACCUAUCAGUUAGUCGGUAGUGUAUUGGACUACUGAGGCAUUGACGGGUAACGGAGAAUUAGGGUUCGGUUCCGGAGAGGGAGCCUGAGAAACGGCUACCACAUCUAAGGAAGGCAGCAGCUGCGUAAAUUACCCAAUCCUGACUCAGGGAGGUAGUGACAAGAAAUCACAAUAUUUCGCCCAAUUGGGCAAAGUAAUUGGAUUGAGAACAGGCUAAACAUGUUAACGAUAAACCAUUGGAGGGCAAGUCUGGUGCCAGCAGCCGCGGUAAUUCCAGCUCCAAUAGCGUAUACUAACGUUGUUGCAGUUAAAAAGCUCGUAGUUGGAUUUUUAGCCGCGCGGACCGGCCGUGGCCUUUAGUGUCGUGCGCCGUUUCGUCGUGGCUAUUUUGGCCCAGCGUGUCGUUGGCAUUAGUUUGUCGACGGCUCCGCCAGGUCGAGUUUACUUUGAGAAAAUUAGAGUGUUCAAAACAGUCAAUCGAUUGUAUAUCAUAGCAUGGAAUAAUAACUGAUGACCUCGGUCACCUUUUGUUGGGUUCAGAUGGCUGAGUUAAUGAUUGAUAGGGUUAGUCGGAGGUAUUAGUAUUCUGUCGUUAGAGGUGAAAUUCAUGGAUCGGCAGAAGACUGACAACUGCGAAAGCAUUUAUCUAGGAUUUGCUCUUUGAUCAAGAACGAAAGUUGGGGGAUCGAAGACGAUCAGAUACCGUCGUAGUCUCAACUAUAAACUAUACCAGCUAGGGAUUGGCAAGCGUUUGACUUGACCUUGUCAGAACCUUAUGAGAAAUCAAAGCAUUUGGGUUCCGGGGGGAGUAUGGUCGCAAGGCUGAAACUUAAAGGAAUUGACGGAAGGGCACCACAAGUUGUGGAUCCUGUGGCUUAAUU
rnacentral:rRNA from 1 species